CAGUAGCCGCGGUAAUACGGAGGGUGCAAGCGUUAAUCGGAAUUACUGGGCGUAAAGCGCACGCAGGCGGUUUGUUAAGUCAGAUGUGAAAUCCCCGAGCUUAACUUGGGAACUGCAUUAGAAACUGGCAAGCUAGAGUCUUGUAGAGGGGGGGUAGAAUUCCAGGUGUAGCGGUGAAAUGCGUAGAGAUCUGGAGGAAUACCGGUGGCGAAGGCGGCCCCCUGGACGAAGACUGACGCUCAGGUACGAAAGCGUGGGGAGCAAACAGGAUUAGAUACCCGUGUAGUCCCUGUCUCUUAUA
rnacentral:rRNA from 1 species